UGGGAAUAUUGCACAAUGGGCGCAAGCCUGAUGCAGCCAUGCCGCGUGUGUGAAGAAGGCCUUCGGGUUGUAAAGCACUUUCAGCGAGGAGGAAGGUGGUGAACUUAAUACGUUCAUCAAUUGACGUUACUCGCAGAAGAAGCACCGGCUAACUCCGUGCCAGCAGCCGCGGUAAUACGGAGGGUGCAAGCGUUAAUCGGAAUUACUGGGCGUAAAGCGCACGCAGGCGGUUUGUUAAGUCAGAUGUGAAAUCCCCGGGCUCAACCUGGGAACUGCAUUUGAAACUGGCAAGCUAGAGUCUCGUAGAGGGGGGUAGAAUUCCAGGUGUAGCGGUGAAAUGCGUAGAGAUCUGGAGGAAUACCGGUGGCGAAGGCGGCCCCCUGGACGAAGACUGACGCUCAGGUGCGAAAAGCGUGGGGAGCAAAACAGGAUUAGAUACCCUGGUAGUCCACGCUGUAAAACGAUGUCGAUUUUGGAGGUUGUGCCCUUGAGGCGUGGCUUCCGGAGCUAACGCGUUAAAUCGACCGCCUGGGGAGUACGGCCGCAAGGUUAAAACUCAAAUGAAUUGACGGGGUCAUAGCUG
rnacentral:rRNA from 1 species